GAUGAAGAACGUAGCAAAAUGCGAUAAGUAAUGUGAAUUGCAGAAUUCGGUGAAUCAUCGAAUCUUUGAACGCACAUUGCGCCCGCUGGUAUUCCGGCGGGCAUGCCUGUUCGAGCGUCAUUUCAACCCUCAAGCCCCCGGGUUUGGUGUUGGGGAUCGGCUCUGCCCUUCUGGGCGGUGCCGCCCCCGAAAUACAUUGGCGGUCUCGCUGCAGCCUCCAUUGCGUAGUAGCUAACACCUCGCAACUGGAACGCGGCGCGGCCAUGCCGUAAAACCCCAACUUCUGAAUGUUGACCUCGGAUCAGGUAGGAAUACCCGCUGAACUUAAGCAUAUCAAUAAGCGGAGGA
rnacentral:misc_RNA from 1 species